CGCUGGCUGAGCAUUUUGUUGGAGAAAAGACAUUCGAUCGGAAAAAUCGGAAGAAACAUUUUCCUUGCCUUUCCGUCGGCAGCGAGUGCGUUCAGUUCGUUACACAGCGUCACCGGGAGCUGUGGUUGCUCGGGUGAUCCGAGUUUCCGGGAAUGCUGCUCCGGGUAUUUGUGCGAUCUCCGACCGACUGGGAUCUGCGUGUGCUAUCCGUGUGCUGUCCGUGUUUUUGGCGUGUGAUAAAAUAUUCAAUAGUCGGGAGUUUUAGUACACCUUUCGCUGGUACCUCAUCCAUUCAGAGCACCGGUUAAGUGAAAAUACUUUCGAAGAAAAAGUCCAAACUUGUUCUUCGCACUAACUUCCGUUCAGAAUACUUACAUACUUUAUUCUAAAGAACGUCGCGUUCGGCGCGUUGCGUUGACCAUUUCCAACAAAUAAAAGUUGCGUGUAGUGCAAAGUUUUCUCCAAGGAAUAUGCUACAUUCAAUAAGCGUGACACAUGUAAGGACAUCACGACCGUUCGAAAGAGAAACCAGAAAGUGUCAAAAGUUGGCCGGUAGAACACUUUACCCGCUGGGAUAAGCAUUACGAGUUGCAGAGCAAAUCGACGAUGAAGACGAGGGACGUUGAAGUUGUGCUGGUCGAUGGGUGGGAAAACGUGAAAAAUUGAAACUUUCUCUUCGCUGUCCCAGCGAACCAGGUUACGGUCAACUAACGAAGAGGAGUUGAAACCUGGAAAAUAAUUCUUGCAUUACUCCUGAAGGAAAAGGCAUCAACGAUAGAGUCUUACAUCUGAAGUGAAAUUUAUACCAUAAUCAGGUUGUGUCAGCACUUUUCUCGCCCGAUGUCAACGACACACAUGCAACAGCCCCUGUAGAUCGGUACGCUCGAUAGAAGCUCGUGCAACAAGAGGAACUCGCCCAGGUUGGGGAGUCGGCCGUGAGCAACUUUGAUGUAAAACACUCAAAAAUAAAUAAAAAAAAGUUUAUCCCUUC